rnacentral:rRNA from 1 species
UGCAGUCGACGGUAACAGGUUAAGCUGACGAGUGGCGAACGGGUGAGUAAUAUAUCGGAACGUGCCCAGUUGUGGGGGAUAACUACUCGAAAGAGUAGCUAAUACCGCAUGAGACCUGAGGGUGAAAGCGGGGGAUCGCAAGACCUCGCGCAGUUGGAGCGGCCGAUAUCAGAUUAGCUAGUUGGCGGGGUAAAAGCCCACCAAGGCGACGAUCUGUAGCUGGUCUGAGAGGACGACCAGCCACACUGGGACUGAGACACGGCCCAGACUCCUACGGGAGGCAGCAGUGGGGAAUUUUGGACAAUGGACGCAAGUCUGAUCCAGCCAUGCCGCGUGUGGGAAGAAGGCCUUCGGGUUGUAAACCACUUUUGUCAGGGAAGAAACGGCUCGGGUUAAUACCUUGGGCUAAUGACGGUACCUGAAGAAUAAGCACCGGCUAACUACGUGCCAGCAGCCGCGGUAAUACGUAGGGUGCAAGCGUUAAUCGGAAUUACUGGGCGUAAAGCGUGCGCAGGCGGUUAUGCAAGACAGAUGUGAAAUCCCCGGGCUCAACCUGGGAACUGCAUUUGUGACUGCAUGGCUAGAGUACGGUAGAGGGGGAUGGAAUUCCGCGUGUAGCAGUGAAAUGCGUAGAUAUGCGGAGGAACACCGAUGGCGAAGGCAAUCCCCUGGACCUGUACUGACGCUCAUGCACGAAAGCGUGGGGAGC